rnacentral:rRNA from 1 species
UGGGGAAUAUUGGACAAUGGGCGCAAGCCUGAUCCAGCCAUGCCGCGUGAGUGAUGAAGGCCCUAGGGUUGUAAAGCUCUUUCACCGGUGAAGAUAAUGACGGUAACCGGAGAAGAAGCCCCGGCUAACUUCGUGCCAGCAGCCGCGGUAAUACGAAGGGGGCUAGCGUUGUUCGGAAUUACUGGGCGUAAAGCGCACGUAGGCGGAUCGAUCAGUUAGGGGUGAAAUCCCGGGGCUCAACCCCGGAACUGCCUCUAAUACUGUCGAUCUGGAGUUCGAGAGAGGUGAGUGGAAUUCCGAGUGUAGAGGUGAAAUUCGUAGAUAUUCGGAGGAACACCAGUGGCGAAGGCGGCUCACUGGCUCGAUACUGACGCUGAGGCACGAAAGCGUGGGGAUCAAACA